rnacentral:rRNA from 1 species
UACGGAGGGGGCAAGCGUUGUUCGGAUUUACUGGGCGUAAAGGGUCCGUAGGUGGUUGUGUAAGUCUGGUGUGAAAUCUUCGCCGCUUAACGGGAAGAAGCCACUGGAAACUGCGCAACUUGAGUAUGGUAGAGGCAAGCGGAAUUCCUGGUGUAGCGGUGGAAUGUGUAGAUAUCAGGAAGAACAUCUGUGGCGAAGGCGGCUUGCUGGGCCAUCACUGACACUGAGGGACGAAAGCGUGGGGAGCAAACAGG